GUCUUACGGUGAAUUUCCUUUAAAUCGGGUAAUGUCUGUUAUUCUAUGCAACACGAAACUCGACUGCGACAUGGCAAAGGAAACGCGGAAUUAUUGCAGAACUUUUAUCUUUCAAACAUUUCGAGAAGGAACUCAAUUCACUUUUGGCGAGAUUUUCACUAGUUUCUAGACAGUGCCUUCGAGAAACAGACGUUGAUGGUCAACAGUAAUAUACAAGAACUUGAGGAUAAAAAUCACGAGGAAUGCGAUUUGUUUCAAAAGUACAUCAGCAACGAUGAUAUUUUGGAUGGCAUCGUAAGAAGAUGGUGGACGAGCUUACAGGAAUGAUUUACCAUCAAGGUAUAUUUACGAUCAGACUUAUGGCGCGUGCAAAUAUUUAUUGUACAAAUAGGAUAUUGUGUCCCCAAUGAUCCGUUUGUAACCUUUACGCAGCGGAAUUUGUAGCGUUGUUGGUGUAAAUCAUUCGUAACUUGAGUUGAAUAACAAAACAUACUCGUUCAUUGAA